GCCCCCGCAGGGUGCUGGCGGCGGCUCUGUGUCACGCGCCCCCCCUCCCGCCCCUUCCCGCAGACCCGAGGUGAGGCAAGGGGCGGAGGCGUUAGGGACCCCUAGAGAGGGCGUGGGUGAUCGGAUGAGCUCUGAGGUCUGUAAACAUUACUUGACUCUUUGAGGCUGCAGACAAAAUUUGGGGCUGUCUCAUCUGUCCCGGGUGGGUGAGCUCGGAUCACGAUUUUCUCACUCUGUGCCGGAAAUCAUGGAAACAGCCAUCCCUCGCCUAACUCUAUUUUAUAUUUUAUAGGGUCGAACUUAAAAUUCUCGCCCAUGGCGCAGUGGAAAGCUUUGUAGCCAGAGGUUCUGGGUCAGUGUUGCCCCUUGGGGGAUAAGUGACCUUGGGAAGGUCGCUUCUCUUUACUCGGCGUGGUAAAAUGAACUGUGGGGGUGAGUGGGGGGGGGGGGUGAUCGUAAUAUUUGCAGCAGUAUCAAUCAGGCUUGUGAGGGAAUAUCGUCCCUCACCUUGGAACUACUCCCUAUCCCCAUGACAUAAUGGGAAUGUCAGUGAAGCCCGCUGAGGACCCCUGCAAUUUUGAUCCCAAUGGUAACUGGAUUUGUGUGGCUCUUUGCGCCUUGCUCGUAUGAGGCGCUUAAUUAAAACAGUUACCUGAUUAUUGAAUGAAUCCUAGGCAAAUUACCUUCGGAUUUCACCUUCAUAAAUCCGGAUCCCUGCAAUUCCUCUUCCAGGCGGAAGGAAGAAUAUUGCGAUGAUUAAUAAUCGCGCAGCAGGGCUGCUGAUGUAAAGCGAUUUGCAGAUGUAAAGGGCAAUAAGCAUUCCUGGGAGGAAUCCAGUGAGAUUCCAGAAGUCUCCGAGGGAGCCGUGGGUGUAUAUCGCCGGGCCCUGCGGGCGGGGGUGGGGCGGGCAGUGCCGCAGAGGCCACUGCUGGGGACUGGACUGCUUGGCAAGGGGCUAACUCUUCAAGCUGCUCAGUCGCGCCCCCCACCCCCCACCAAUCCCCUGGGUUUUCUGACCAGAGGACUGUGUGUUUUCCAGAAUUUCAGAGCAGGAAAGCACAUCCCACAUUCUCCCUGCCCCCCCCCCCCCCAUUCAGCCCUUCUAUUUCACACAUGCGGAAACUCGGGCUCUCGAGAAGUUGGUUCGUCCACCCAAACUUGCACAGCUAGUUAGAGACAGAUAAAGGCUAGGAUUUCUGGCUUCCAUCUCACCUCUAACCGCCUGUGUGCUCUUGUGGCUUCAGGACCCUGUUGCCCGGCUCAGAUGAGGGGGCGUGCAGUAAAGCUAAGUACUGACCUCAGGCCUCCUAACGGAUAACAGUGGCACACCUGCUGCUUCACGCAGCCACAGCCUGACACCAGGGCCUGUGGUGGUGGCCGGGACGUGUGUACUUCCCAAGCCACAAGCGUUCCUCCUUACAGUGGUUGGAAUGGCUUCUCUUGUCCAGAGAACGUGACUUGGCUGUCCUGAAACCAGGCUUAGACUAACCGUUAGUUAUUUUUUUAAUAGUGACCCAAGCCUUGCAUUAAACUUUUCUCAGCUAAGACGACAGCAGAAGGCAUGCAGCCUGAACCCAUGGGAACCCCUUUCAGCCCUUGGAAGGUCCUUUCAUGGUACAUAAAGACUGUGUAUGAAGGCAGCUCAGACUAAGAAGAUUGGUGCCCACCGCUGGCCUCAGUCAUCCUGCUGAUUUGAGAAGUCUGGAAUCCUUCACCUCUGAUUGUACUCGGAGCUAUAGCGGCAGAAGCGGCAGCUCUGCCCCCUGGUGGACAUAUGAGGCACAGCGCCCUUCUCCGACUCCAGAAGCCCUGUCACGUAGAGGCUAGAGGAGCAACCGUGCAAGGUAAAUCUUUUUCGUGGAUAACAUGAGAGUCACGGGCAGCAGUUUGUUCUUUCUGGUUGUUUCCGCCUCCAUAAAAUGAGAACCGCAUCACAGCCAGAGCAGUUUAGCAUCUUGUUCCUGGUCACUCAGUUGGUAAGUGGUAAUGUCAGGAUUUGAACUCAUGCCUGACUCCAGAGCACCACACUACGCUGGAGAAGACCCUGUGGCCGAGAAGCUUGUGAGACAAAACUGGAGGAUUUUGCUCCGGGAGCAAUUAGAACGAGCAAUUGGUAAAUUGCCCUGUCGUGGCAUUCCAUGAUGUCACGUUGGCCCACCAGGGGGAAGAGCAGCGAGUCUCACGGGCGUGUGUCAGCAGGGAUUUGGCUGCAAGGUUGCACGAAACCGCCAUGCACGGAGUAUGAAAAACGCCUGGCUGUGUUAUGUAUGCACGCAUGUACGUCCUGUGUCUUGUGUGUUUUGUUCUCCUUGUUGUAUGUUACAGGUGUUAUGGAUGCGUUGUGCGUGUUAUGUGUACAUUCCGUGUAUGUGAGUGGGUUGUGUAAGUGACGGAGGCUUGCCUGGUGACUGAUGUCUUCAACAUUGCAGACCACACGCUCCAACAGCCCACACUUACUCGGUGCCCACAGCGAGCCGGCCACUCGUCCUAGUGCUUCCCACGUGGCAACUCCUUCAUUUUCACAAGAGUCCUGGGCAGUAGCUACCUAGAGUAGCCUGACUUUAUGAAUGAGAAAGUGGAGGCACAGAAGGAUCAAUCAACUUGCUCUAGACCACCCAGAUAAUCACCAUGUGAAAGAUGAUAGAAUUGUCCUCCUCCUUCUGUGGGUGAAGAGCCUGUGAACCAUGUGACAAUCAGCACCUUCCGAUUAAACAUUAGCCACGUUGGCCUUCCUGAGGCCUGGCACUUUGGAGUGGAGGAUAAAACGAAAAAGUCUCUGGCGAUGCCACUGAAGGUGGAGGAGGAGACUGAGCCUGUUACCGUAGCAACACAGGCCAGUGGUUCUCUGUCCGUCCGUCCGUCUAUCCAUCCAUCCACCCACAAAUGAGUUUUGUCCGUGACAAAAAUUCAGACGUGAACAAAAGAAAGUAGUUGCUUUCGCGGAGCAUCUGUUCCAGUGCAGAAAAGGCAUCAAACAACUAAAUAAACAUAAACACAAUAGAAGUCCAGACAGAGAUAAGGGCUUGGAGGAAAAUAAAGCAGGGAAAGGGGGGAGAGAGUAAGGCAUAUUUUGCCUAGUGUGGCCACAGGGGCUUAUCUGAGGCUCUGCAGAAUGGUUAAUCUAAUUGCAUUAGACUCAAACCUCCCAAGUCUAGACCCCACUCUCAGUGGACUUCUUUCUUCUCGUUCCCCUUCUCCCACAGGAUCUGAGGGUAGCCAAUGACCCCAAACCCUCAGCUGCAGAGUGGAGGUAGGUGAGGGUCAUUUAGACAGGGGAUGAGGAGAAGGUGAAGCUAGACCCUGGGGAAGGGAGCAGAGGGUUCAAGGGCUUGGACGCUCAUGGGAUGAAGGGUCAGUGGUUGUUCAUUGAUUACCUACUCGAUAUCCAUUCCUCUUCUCCCCACUUCCUACCAGCGCUCAUAUUUGCUUUCUGGAUUUGGGUGGGAUGUCACGGGGGGUCCUGAAUGUCCUAACAAUCAGCACAAUCUCAAUCCUGUUACCUCAGUGAUCGGUUCGUAUUGUGAAGUGUGGAGUGUGACACUUUGGGUCUUCUUUUAUUCUUUUUCAUUAAAAAUUUUUUUCUUAUUACAUUUAUUUAUUUAUUUUUGAUAGAGGGAGACAGAGCACAAGUGGGGGAGGGGCAGAGAGAGAGGGAGA